UCUUGACUAGGUUUUAGGCUUUUGGAAAAAGAAACUAGAUAAAAAAAAUAAUAAUAAUAUUCUUUGCAUAGAAUUUUGGAGGAUCAGUUUAAGUUAUUAAUUGUUGGGUACUAGUCACCAAUUCGCCAUGGAUAAUGAGAAGGGAGAAAUGGGUGUCAGCGGUAAUGGCACGCAGAGGAUAAUGUCUCAAAGAUGAUAAAUGAAGCUCUCAAAAAGUGCUUGGGGAAAAAUAAAGGAGAUCAUAAUAAAUGCAAGUCCAAGAUUGAUUGUUUCGAUUCUUCCUCCUCUUCUAUUUCCAAUCCAAGAAAAACAAUUGCCUCCUUUAAGGCUCAGGAGUGGUUCAUUGACUGAUAUCUGAAGCAAGUACAGGUAAUCAUUUUCAUUUUUUUUUAGUGUUUCUAUUAAUCUAUAUAAUUAUUUUAUGUAAUUGCUGUAUGAAUUGGACCUUUGACGCAGUCAGGAUCGCUGGUAAUGCAUGGUAACUUAUGGGUUAAUGAGUAUUUUUUUGCUCCUCUUAUCCUUUCUGGUUUUCUUUUAUGUCUCUGGAUCUGAUUUCUUUUCUGUUAAAUAGAAUCUUUUUUUAUGUUUUUUGGUUCCUUUCUUUUCUUUUGAAGAAUGACAAAAUUGUUAAACUCAACCUUGAUAAAAUGAUAUGAAGAACAAAUUGAACAUGUCACUGAAUUAACAUAUCCCUCAAUUCAAACACUUCCUAACUAUGACUUGGAACGUGCAUCACACAUCUCCCAUCUAAAGCCAUAGCAGACAACUAUAGCACCAUGACUUCAAGUUCAGAAGGUAGCUUUUGCUGGAGAUCAUUGCAUCAUCUUUAGCCUAUUGGUAAUUCCUUGUUUCCUUAAACUUUCACUUCCAUCGUGGGCAUCUAGACUUGAAUAGUUUACGUAAAAGAAAUGGUUCCAUUCUAUUUGGUUUUAAGAGCAGCCUCGCUACUGGGACCUCACUGCACAAACAAAGGACUUAAAGAUAAAAUGGAAAUGAGAACAAGAUUAUCAUUAAUAUCCCUUGUGGUUUGAGUCAUUUUCAAAAAGGGUUCUAUGUUUCUGUUUUGACAAACCAGUAUUUUGUAGUUCAAUCCAUUAGAAAAAAAAAAUCCAAAUCCGUUGGCUUUUUAUAUUUAAUACUACUUUCACAUGCUGCACAAUUCAUUCUGCAGACUGCAGACGAUUCUUUCAUGUUAUGUCCAUAAUCCAUACACUAAAAUGAACACUUGAAUAAAUUUUGCAGUCUGGUAAGUAGAAACUUCUCCUUUCUGCAAUCCACCUAAAGGAGUGCAUCCCCGCUGAAUUUUGCAGUCUAGUAGAACAAUUAACCUUCAAAAUUUCCAACAAAAUCAUACUUGAUAGGUUCAUGUGUAUUUUUUGCUCCUACAGACUUCUUUUAUCUCUAUAACUUUGGUUUGAAUCUGUCCUCGCCCACAACCUGCCAAAAAGGGAAAGACCUUUCCUUGAGAAGGUAGGAAAAUCAUAAUUGAGAUGGUGCACUCAAUGCAAUGGAACUUGGAUAUGGGUCUUUUGUCAAAAUAAAAUGUUCUCACUUUUACUUUUUUAAUAUAGUAUGCUUGGACUA
rnacentral:misc_RNA from 1 species